UCUGGCUUAUAGCCUAGCGGUCCCAUUAGAGUGCCCAACUUAAUGCUGGUAACUAAUGGCGAGGGUUGCGCUCGUUGCGGGACUUAACCCAACAUCUCACAACACGAGCUGACGACAGCCAUGCAGCACCUGUCACCGGGUCCCGAAGGAACCCCUGGUUUCCCAGGGUAGCCCGGGAUGUCAAGCCCAGGUAAGGUUUUUCGCGUAGCAUCGAAUUAAACCACAUGCUCCACCGCUUGUGCGGGCCCCCGUCAAUUCCUUUGAGUUUUAAUCUUGCGACCGUAAUCCCCAGGCGGGAUACUUAAUGCGUUAGCUGCGACACCGAAACUAUUAGGUAUUCCGACGUCUAGUAUCCAUCGUUUAGGGCGUGGACUAC
rnacentral:misc_RNA from 1 species